UGAGGCGGCAAAGGCUAUAGCGGAACAAAUUGAAGUGGGUUUGAGUCAAAGCACUACUGAUGAAUCACAGCAAGCUCGUGAUGCAAAUGAGCCAGAUUCUCCUUUGGGUACAAGACAAUCAUCUGAUGGAAGUAACAUUUAGGAAGUUUAUGAUAUUGUUUUAGGAUAAAACUAUACUUAGUUUAUUAUGAAUUGAGUAACAUUUCUUUCUUUGUAACUACUUCUGUAAUGAGAUUACAUUGACUUUUAGUCUA